rnacentral:rRNA from 1 species
AGACCAGACUCCUACGGGAGGCAGCAGUGGGGGAUAUUGGACAAUGGGGGAAACCCUGAUCCAGCGAUGCCGCGUGAGGGAAGAAGGUUUUCGGAUUGUAAACCUCUGUGGACAGGGACGAUAAUGACGGUACCUGUCAAGAAAGCCACGGCUAACUACGUGCCAGCAGCCGCGGUAAUACGUAGGUGGCGAGCGUUGUCCGGAAUUACUGGGUGUAAAGGGAGCGUAGGUGGCAGGGCAAGUCAGAUGUGAAAACCCGGGGCUCAACUCCGGGAGUGCAUUUGAAACUGUCCAGCUAGAGUGCAGGAGAGGUAAGCGGAAUUCCUAGUGUAGCGGUGAAAUGCAUAGAUAUCACGCAGAACUCCGAUUGCGAAGGCAGCAUACCGGCGCGCAACUGACGCUCAUGCACGAAAGCGUGGGUAUCGAACAGGAUUAGAUACCCGCGUAUA